ensembl:lncRNA
CACCGUUCAUGAGGAACGAGACUCCAUUAGAGAGCAGCAGCUGGAACUUUUUAAGCUUUACAUAUUUUUCUUCCCAAGCCUCCACGUCCCCUCCUUCCUCCUCAUUCAGUUGAUUAAAAGCGAUCAGGGCUGCUCUGAUUUAUCAACUCAAUCCUUUACUCUAAGCAAUUGAGAAAGCUGGUGCUUCCAGCCAUCCAGCCCCAGCUUUAGAGAUCAAGCUCAGCUGUCUCUGUUUACCUCUUAGCCCAAGUGAACUCUUGCCAUAACAGCACAGGUACCUUGAACUUUUCCUCGUCCAGCAGUAACUGGAGAUUGAUUCCUUUGUUUGUUGCCUCUGCUUUGAUGUGAGCAAGGACAAGGUGCAGUGAUGACAGGCAGGUCCAUCACAUCAGAGCCCGGGAACAGAAGUAUCUUCACUGAACUGGUGCCUGACAAUCUGAAAUCAAAGGGCAUCCAGUGGAAGAUCACAGUUACAGCAGUUUGGGGAAAAGGAAACAAAACCACUGUUCAUCCCUGCAAUGAGAUAUCUUGUGACAAACAUCUUACUCUAACUGGGGUCAAAACAUCUGACCUAUUAACAGAAAAGGAGCAGAUUGAGAGCUUGCCUGUACUGGCGCAGAAGGAUGCCAGCCCCAGCAGAAUUUACUUUUUUCUUAAGAGCAUACCAAAGCCUCCUGAAGUUCACCAGGAAUUUUGUAGCACCUGUCUGGCACACAAUCUGCUGGUCGUCUGAUUUUUCCUGUGGGUAUGUGUGUUAUAACUAAAAGAGAGCAUUAGAGGGGAAAGGCACUGAAACGGGAUGUUUUUUUAUUUCAGUAAAUUUACAAAAUCAGUAAUUUCUGGAGGGAGCUCAGAGCCACAAGCCCAGUCAAGAGAUUCUACACUUUACCAAAGUAGUUUUUUUCUGAAAAGUUCUCCUGCAGCAAUCAAAAUGUAUUAAUUUUUUCACAGAUUGUGGAGCUCAAGGGGUGAAGUUUUGUACUUUGUUUAAGGCCAGAGGUUUGUCUAA